rnacentral:piRNA from 1 species
GGGCGUUUUGGAGAAGGGGAGCAG